rnacentral:rRNA from 1 species
AGUGAACGCUGGCGGCAGGCCUAACACAUGCAAGUCGAACGGACGCACAGUAAGCGCUCGCUCUUACCGGUAGCGACUGGCGGAUGGGUGAGGCGUACAUCGGCAUCUUCUUUUUCGUGGGGGAUAACGUGGGGACACUUCCGAUAAUACCGCAUACGACCUACGGGUGAAAGCAGUGGAGAUUCGGACCUUGCCCGAUUCUAUUAGCCGAUGUCGGAUUAGCUAGUUGGCGGGGUAAAGGCACACCAAGGCGACGAUACGUAGCUGGUCUGAGAGGAUGAUCAGCCACACUGGAACUGAGACACGGUCCAGACUCCUACGGGAGGCAGCAGUAGGGAAUAUUGGACAAUGGGCGCAAGCCUGACGGAGCCAUACCGCGUGAGUGAAGAAGGCCUUCGGAUUGUAAAACCCUGUUGUUGGGGAAGAAAAGCAGCAGAAGAAAACCCCGCUGUUUUGACGGUACCCAAUGAGUAAGCACCGGCUAACUUCGUG